AACAGGAUUAGAUACCCUGGUAGUCCAUGCCGUAAACGUUGGGCACUAGGUGUGGGGGACAUUCCACGUUUUCCGCGCCGUAGCUAACGCAUUAAGUGCCCCGCCUGGGGAGUACGGCCGCAAGGCUAAAACUCAAAGAAAUUGACGGGGGCCCGCACAAGCGGCGGAGCAUGCGGAUUAAUUCGAUGCAACGCGAAGAACCUUACCAAGGCUUGACAUAUACUGGACCGCAUCAGAGAUGGUGUUUCCCUUCGGGGCUGGUAUACAGGUGGUGCAUGGUUGUCGUCAGCUCGUGUCGUGAGAUGUUGGGUUAAGUCCCGCAACGAGCGCAACCCUCGUUCUAUGUUGCCAGCACGUUAUGGUGGGGACUCAUAGGAGACUGCCGGGGUCAACUCGGAGGAAGGUGGGGAUGACGUCAAAUCAUCAUGCCCCUUAUGUCUUGGGCUUCACGCAUGCUACAAUGGCCGGUACAGAGGGUUGCGAUACUGUGAGGUGGAGCUAAUCCCUAAAAGCCGGUCUCAGUUCGGAUUGGGGUCUGCAACUCGACCCCAUGAAGUCGGAGUCGCUAGUAAUCGCAGAUCAGCAACGCUGCGGUGAAUACGUUCCCGGGCCUUGUACACACCGCCCGUCAAGUCACGAAAGUUGGUAACACCCAAAGCCGGUGGCCUAACCCUUUUGGGAGGGAGCCGUCUAAGGUGGGAUUGGCGAUUGGGACUAAGUCGUAACAAGGUAACC
rnacentral:rRNA from 1 species